rnacentral:rRNA from 1 species
CCUACGGGCGACAGCAGUGGGGAAUUUUGGACAAUGGGCGCAAGCCUGAUCCAGCUAUUCCGCGUGUGGGAUGAAGGCCCUCGGGUUGUAAACCACUUUUGUAGAGAACGAAAAGACACCUUAUAAUAAAGGGUGUUGCUGACGGUACUCUAAGAAUAAGCACCGGCUAACUACGUGCCAGCAGCCGCGGUAAUACGGAGGAUGCGAGCGUUAUCCGGAUUUAUUGGGUUUAAAGGGUGCGUAGGCGGUCCGUUAAGUCAGCGGUAAAAUUGCGGGGCUCAACCCCGUCGAGCCGUUGAAACUGGCAGACUUGAGUUGGCGAGAAGUACGCGGAAUGCGCGGUGUAGCGGUGAAAUGCAUAGAUAUCGCGCAGAACUCCGAUUGCGAAGGCAGCGUACCGGCGCCAGACUGACGCUGAGGCACGAAAGCGUGGGUAUCGAACAGGAUUAGAUACCCCAGUAGUC